GGGGGCGGGGGCGGCAGGUGCGCUCUCCCCGGGCCGCGGGGCUCCUGGACUUUCGGUCGCCGCGGCCACCACCGGCCUCUUAUGCGUCGGGCAAACCCCAGCGGGGGGCCCUCCCCCGGCCGCAGGUCCCGCGACCGCGCCCCCGGGAAUCGCACCCUCCAGGUGACGCUGCAGUGAUGCUGACGUUGGAGAGCUCGGCUCAGGGACUCCAGGUUCCAGGGCUUUUGCUUGGUUGCUCGUUGACAGCGUCUGGGCCCCGAGAUGCCGGAGAAGCAGAAAUAGAGCCUCUUGAUCUUCCUCUUCUAAGGAAUCUUCAAAGAUUAUAGAAUCCAUGUGGAAAAACAACAUAACAUGAUUUAAUAAGAUUUUUGAAUGACCUGCACGGUAGGACCUUUUGAUUUCCUGAGGCCACGUCUAUACUCACUGGGAUUCACAUACCUUCCUUGAGGGACCAAUUGGGAAAGAGAGUCCACAAGUCACAUAAAGAGAGAGAACCCUCAAAGAGAGCAGGUAGAGUGACAUUCCUCUAGCGACUCAACUCCCUGGAUGUGUCUGACACUUUGCUAAGGGCAGAAGACAAUCUUAGCCUGACCCCCAGGAGCCGGUAAGUCUACUUUAAUAUAUAAAAAUUCCUUUGGGAACUUUUGUCUCUAUUCCCCAAGAUACAUGUUGGCAGUCAUCCCCCAACUAUAUGACCCACCUGCAUACAUCAAAACAGUCUCGUUGAGUAAAGGCCAAGUAGGGCUAGGUAGGAAGAGAUAGUUAGGGGGCCGGCCACAUGAUCAGAAAUCCCAGAAAUGCUGAGGCCUAAUGAAACCAGAGAUAAGGGAACAAAUCAGAUGACCCUGCCCUGGGUGUCAGAGGUGGGGUCUUUUUAUGGCAGUUACAUUGUGACCAACAAAGAAUAACCAGACCCCAAAGACACCAUUUAAGAUGUUAUCACCACUCCUUACUCAAACUAAGACGUCACAAGAAUGGUCAGGCCACAAGCCCCCCGGUCAGUUCUAAAUAAAAGACUGUCAGAAGAGGCCCAGGCUGGCAACACUGUCGGGACCCUUCUCACUCCCUGAGAGCUUUUCCUGUA